rnacentral:rRNA from 1 species
UACGGAGGGGGCUAGCGUUGUUCGGAAUUACUGGGCGUAAAGCGCACGUAGGCGGCUUUGCAAGUCAGAGGUGAAAGCCCGGGGCUCAACCCCGGAAUUGCCUUUGAGACUGCAUCGCUAGAACGUCGGAGAGGUGAGUGGAAUUCCGAGUGUAGAGGUGAAAUUCGUAGAUAUGGGGAGGAACACCGGUGGCGAAGGCGGCCAUCUGGACAGAUACUGACGCUGAGACGCGAAAGCGUGGGUAGCAAACAGG